GAUCAUGGCUCAGAUUGAACGCUGGCGGCAUGCCUUACACAUGCAAGUCGAACGGUAACAGGGCCGCAAGGUGCUGACGAGUGGCGAACGGGUGAGUAAUACAUCGGAACGUGCCCGAUCGUGGGGGAUAACGGAGCGAAAGCUUUGCUAAUACCGCAUACGAUCUACGGAUGAAAGCAGGGGACCGCAAGGCCUUGCGCGGACGGAGCGGCCGAUGGCAGAUUAGGUAGUUGGUGGGAUAAAAGCUUACCAAGCCGACGAUCUGUAGCUGGUCUGAGAGGACGACCCAGCCACACUGGGACUGAGACACGGCCCAGACUCCUACGGGAGGCAGCAGUGGGGAAUUUUGGACAAUGGGCGAAAGCCUGAUCCAGCCAUGCCGCGUGCAGGAUGAAGGCCUUCGGGUUGUAAACUGCUUUUGUACGGAACGAAAAGACUCUGGUUAAUACCUGGGGUCCAUGACGGUACCGUAAGAAUAAGCACCGGCUAACUACGUG
rnacentral:rRNA from 1 species